UACAGAGGGGGCAAGCGUUGUUCGGAAUUACUGGGCGUAAAGCGUGCGCAGGCGGUGAUGUAAGACAGAUGUGAAAUCCCCGGGCUCAACCUGGGAACUGCAUUUGUGACUGCAUCGCUGGAGUGCGGCAGAGGGGGGGAUGGAAUUCCGCGUGUAGCAGUGAAAUGCGUAGAUAUGCGGAGGAACACCGAUGGCGAAGGCAAUCCCCUGGGCCUGCACUGACGCUCAUGCACGAAAGCGUGGGGAGCAAACAGG
rnacentral:rRNA from 1 species